rnacentral:rRNA from 1 species
GACAGAGGGUGCAAACGUUGUUCGGAAUUACUGGGCGUAAAGCGCGUGUAGGCGGCUAAGUAAGUCGGGCGUGAAAUCCCACGGCUCAACCGUGGAAGUGCACUCGAAACUGCAUAGCUAGAGUCCUGGAGAGGAAGGCGGAAUGCUUGGUGUAGAGGUGAAAUUCGUAGAUAUCAAGCGGAACACCGGUGGCGAAGGCGGCCUUCUGGACAGUGACUGACGCUGAGACGCGAAAGCGUGGGGAGCAAACAGG